AAAGUCGAGCGAAACAGACGAGGAGCUUGCUCCUCUGACGUUAGCGGCGGAACGGGUGAAGUAAACACGUGAUAAACCUACCUAUAAGACUGGGAGUAACUUCGGAAACCGGAGCUAAUACCGGAUAAUAUAUUGAACCGCAUGGUUCAAUAGUGAAAAGACGGUUUUGCUGUCACUUAUAGAUGGAUCCGCGCCGCAUUAGCUAGUUGGUAAGGUAACGGCUUACCAAGGCAACGAUGCGUAGCCCGACCCUGAGAGGGUGAUCGGCCACACUGGAACUGAGACACGGUCCAGACUCCUACGGGAGGCAGCAGUAGGGAAUCUUCCGCAAUGGGCGAAAGCCUGACGGAGCAACGCCGCGUGAGUGAUGAAGGUCUUCGGAUCGUAAAACUCUGUUAUUAGGGAAGAACAAAUGUGUAAGUAACUAUGCACGUCUUGACGGUACCUAAUCAGAAAGCCACGGCUAACUACGUGCCAGCAGCCGCGGUAAU
rnacentral:rRNA from 1 species